rnacentral:tRNA from 1 species
GCCUGGGUGGCUCAGUCGGUUAAGCAUCUUGACUUCGGCUCAGGUCAUGAUCUCACAGUUUGUGGGUUCGAGCCCCGCAUCGGGCU